AGUGAACGCUGGCGGUAGGCCUAACACAUACAAGUCGAACGGCAGCACAGGAGAGCUUGCUCUCUGGGUGGCGAGUGGCGGACGGGUGAGGAAUACAUCGGAAUCUGCCCAGUCGUGGGGGAUAACGUAGGGAAACUUACGCUAAUACCGCAUACGACCUUCGGGUGAAAGAGGGGGAUCGCAAGACCUCUCGCGAUUGGAUGAGCCGAUGUCGGAUUAGCUAGUUGGCGGGGUAAUGGCCCACCAAGGCGACGAUCCGUAGCUGGUCUGAGAGGAUGAUCAGCCACACUGGAACUGAGGCACGGUCCAGACUCCUACGGGAGGCAGCAGUGGGGAAUAUUGGACAAUGGGCGCAAGCCUGAUCCAGCCAUACCGCGUGGGUGAAGAAGGCCUUCGGGUUGUAAAGCCCUUUUGUUGGGAAAGAAAUCUUUCAGGCUAAUACCCUGGGAGGAUGACGGUACCCAAAGAAUAAGCACCGGCUAACUUCGUG
rnacentral:rRNA from 1 species